rnacentral:rRNA from 1 species
GACGAACGCUGGCGGCGUGCUUAACACAUGCAAGUCGAACGGAAAGGCCUGCUUUCCCUUGUGGAUUGCGGGUGCUCGAGUGGCGAACGGGUGAGUAACACGUGAGUGAUCUGCCCCCAACUUGGGUAUAAGCCUGGGAAACUGGGUCUAAUUCCCGAUAGGACUGCAGGGUGGUGCCUGUGGUGGAAAACGAUUUUCUAGUGGUUGGGGAUGAGCUCGCGGCCUAUCAGCUUGUUGGUGGGGUAAUGGCCUACCAAGGCGGCGACGGGUAGCCGGCCUGAGAGGGUGGACGGCCACAUUGGGACUGAGAUACGGCCCAGACUCCUACGGGAGGCAGCAGUGGGGAAUAUUGCACAAGGGGCGGAAGCCUGAUGCAGCGACGCCGCGUGGGGGAUGACGGCCUUCGGGUUGUAAACUCCUUUCGACCGCGAGGAAGCCACCUGGUUGGAAGGGUGGUGACGGUAGUGGUAGAAGAAGCACCGGCUAACUACGUG